rnacentral:rRNA from 1 species
UACAGGGGGUGCAAACGUUGCUCGGAAUUAUUGGGCGUAAAGCGCGCGUAGGCGGCUACUUAAGUCGGAUGUGAAAGCCCUUGGCUCAACUGAGGAAGUGCACCCGAAACUGAGUAGCUGGAGUACGAAAGAGGGUCGCGGAAUUCCCGGUGUAGAGGUGAAAUGCGUAGAUAUUGGGAGGAACACCAGUGGCGAAGGCGGCUACCUGGACCGGUUCUGACGCUGAUGCACGAAAGCGUGGGGAGCAAACAGG